UGUUUUGCAUGUACACUGAGAGCUUGUACACCAGAGACAAAUUAUUUGUGUGCCUAAUCACAUUUGCCCAAUAAAUCAUGCAUUAAUUCAUUCAUUAAUU